GGGAAUAUUGCGCAAUGGGGGCAACCCUGACGCAGCCAUGCCGCGUGAAUGAAGAAGGCCUUCGGGUUGUAAAGUUCUUUCGGUAGCGAGGAAGGCAUUUAGUUUAAUAGACUAGGUGAUUGACGUUAACUACAGAAGAAGCACCGGCUAACUCCGUGCCAGCAGCCGCGGUAAUACGGAGGGUGCGAGCGUUAAUCGGAAUAACUGGGCGUAAAGGGCACGCAGGCGGUGACUUAAGUGAGGUGUGAAAGCCCCGGGCUUAACCUGGGAAUUGCAUUUCAUACUGGGUCGCUAGAGUACUUUAGGGAGGGGUAGAAUUCCACGUGUAGCGGUGAAAUGCGUAGAGAUGUGGAGGAAUACCGAAGGCGAAGGCAGCCCCUUGGGAAUGUACUGACGCUCAUGUGCGAAAGCGUGGGGAGCAAACAGG
rnacentral:rRNA from 1 species